CAGCAGCCGCGGGAAAACGGAGGGUGCAAGCGUUAAUCGGAAUUACUGGGCGUAAAGCGUGCGUAGGCGGUUCGUUAAGACAGAUGUGAAAUCCCCGGGCUUAACCUGGGAACUGCAUUUGUGACUGGCGAGCUAGAGUAUGGCAGAGGGGGGUAGAAUUCCACGUGUAGCAGUGAAAUGCGUAGAGAUGUGGAGGAAUACCGAUGGCGAAGGCAGCCCCCUGGGCCAAUACUGACGCUCAUGCACGAAAGCGUGGGGAGCAAACAGGAUUAGAUACCCCGGUAGUCCCUGUCUCUUAUAC
rnacentral:rRNA from 1 species